rnacentral:rRNA from 1 species
UGGGGAAUUUUCCGCAAUGGGCGCAAGCCUGACGGAGCAACGCCGCGUGAGGGAGGAAGGUCUGUGGAUUGUAAACCUCUUUUCUCUGGGAAGAAGAUCUGACGGUACCAGAGGAAUCAGCAUCGGCUAACUCCGUGCCAGCAGCCGCGGUAAGACGGAGGAUGCAAGCGUUGUUCGGAAUUACUGGGCGUAAAGGGCGCGUAGGCGGCACAUCAAGUCAGAGGUGAAAGCCCCGGGCUCAACCUGGGAAUUGCCUUUGAAACUGAUGAGCUAGAGUCCGGAAGAGGAUAGCGGAAUUCCCAGUGUAGAGGUGAAAUUCGUAGAUAUUGGGAAGAACACCAGUGGCGAAGGCGGCUAUCUGGUCCGGUACUGACGCUGAGGCGCGAAAGCGUGGGGAGCAAACAGGAUUAGAUACCCCUGUAGUCC